rnacentral:rRNA from 1 species
UACGGGGGGGGCGAGCGUUGUUCGGAAUCACUGGGCGUAAAGGGCGCGUAGGCGGCCCGCACAAGUCUGCGGUGAAAACCCUCGGCUUAACCGGGGGCCGGCCGUGGAAACUGUCGGGCUGGAGGCCGGGAGAGGGCAGCGGAAUUCCCGGUGUAGCGGUGAAAUGCGUAGAGAUCGGGAGGAACACCGGCGGCGAAGGCGGCUGCCUGGACCGGCCCUGACGCUGAGGCGCGAAAGCUAGGGGAGCAAACAGG